rnacentral:rRNA from 1 species
UACGUAGGGGGGCAAGCGUUGUCCGGAUUUAUUGGGCGUAAAGAGCGUGUAGGCGGCCAGACAGGUCAGCUGUGAAAACUCGAGGCUCAACCUCGAGACGUCGGUUGAAACCGUCUGGCUAGAGUCCGGAAGAGGAGAGUGGAAUUCCCCGGUGUAGCGGUGAAAUGCGCAGAUAUCGGGGAAGAACACCCGUGGCGAAGGCGGCUCUCUGGGACGGUACUGACGCUGAGACGCGAAAAGCGUGGGGGAGCGAACAGG